GACCGUUUCGCGGGGCCCGGUUGUCCCACACCUGUAGCUUAAUUCACCAAAUCAAUGAAUGAACCGGGUAGCGAGCUACCUUUCUCUCAAAAAAAUAAAAAUGCUAAGGCUCUCUCUUAGCCCACAGACUUUGAAUUAUACUUUACUAUUCUAUAAUUUUAUUUUUGUAAAUAGUAAAAUACUAAAUUUUACAGUACAUAUUAUAAAGCAAUAAACAUGUAAUAAUAUUAACUAAUUUACGGUAUGAUACUUCACCCAUUUAAAAUUUUCUAAAACGUUAAAAAUAAAAUUAUAUAUUUAAAUUUAAAUUUUUAAAUUUUAUAUUUGAAUUUUUAAAUUUAAAUAUAUAACUCUAAAAAAUUAAAAAUUUGAAAAAUAAAAUAAAAAUAAAACUAGUAAGUGAACUUAGCUAUAGAUUGAGACAUCAUGGGCCUCCAAGAAAAAGGAAAAGGAAAACGACAAAAGAAAGGUACAAAGCACACCAGAAAAAUAAAAUAAAAAUAAAAAAAGACGAAAGAAAGAGAAAACAGUAAAAUUCAAAUGUAAUGACUUUUCCAGAAGUCUUUAAGCACUCUGAUCUCUAUCAGCAGAUACCCCAAUUUCUU
rnacentral:lncRNA from 1 species